AACGCAUAUUGCGCCCUCUGGUAUUCCGGGGGGCAUGCCUGUUCGAGCGUCAUUAAUAACACUCAAGCUUGGCUUGGUAUUGGGCUUUCAUCCAAAGUUGUGGAGUGGGCCUAAAAAUUAGUGGCGAUAGGCCCCUCUGGCUUUCAAGCGUAGUAAUUCUCGCCUUGAUUUUAGGAAGGGGAAAUCUGCCAAAAAAAUAUUCAAUCUCAGUUGACCUCGGAUCAGGUAGGAAUACCCGCUGAACUUAA
rnacentral:misc_RNA from 1 species